GUACGUUCUGUACCCUGGACAUCUGUCUGUCCAGGCUGGAGGACAUUGGGACGGUGGAUGUGUGUGAGACAGUGAGGAGGAUGAGGACCCAGAGAGCCUUCAGUAUACAGACCUGGGAUCAGUAUUACUUCUGCUACACGGCCGUCAUCGAGUACGCACAGCGACGCGGAAAACUGACCCCGGUACAGUGGUCCGAUUCAGACCUGGAGACAGACAGCGAGUGACGGGAUGGGAUGGGUGGAGGAUGGAAUGAAUGCAGGCUGAGGGAGGGAGGGAAACAGGAUGUGUCCCAGGAAGAGGAAGAGGGUGGAGGAUGGAAUGAACGCAGGCUGAUGGAGGGAGGGAAACAGGAUGUGUCCCAGGAAGAGGAAGAGGAAGAGGGUGGAGGAUGGAAUGAACGCAGGCUGAGGGAGAGGAAGGGACAGGGAGAUGGAGGAGGGAUGGAAACAGGAUGUGUCCCAGGAAGAGGAAGAGGGUGUGAAAGCUAAAUGACUCUUGAGUUACUCCCCCAAUCAAGAGGAGGAGGAGAAGAUGAGAUGUAUCAACAAUUGAUUGAUUGAUUGAUAGAUAGAUAGAUAGAUAGAUAGAUAGAUAGAUAGAUAGAUAGAUAGAUAGAUAGAUAGAUAGAUAGAGCAGAGUCCUGCCAUUUAGUAUGUAGUGGGGCGGCUCUGAGCUAAGAGGAGCUCUCCUGUCCCGGCCUGAGCUGGCCUCUCCUGGCCUGGCCUGUUUCUCCCAUAGAGCUAAGAGGAGCUGGCCUGGCCUGUCCUGGCCUGGCCUGUUUCUCCCAUAGAGCUAAGAGGAGCUGGCCUGUCCUGUCCUGGCCUGUCCUGUCCUGGCCUGGCCUGUUUCUCCCAUAGAGCUAAGAGGAACUGGCCUGUUUCUCCCAUAGAGCUAAGAGGAGCUGGCCUCUCCUGGCCUGGCCUGUUUCUCCCAUAGAGCUAAGAGGAGCUGGCCUCUCCUGUCCUGGCCUGGCCUGUUUCUCCCAUAGAGCUAAGAGGAGCUGGCCUCUCCUAGCCUGGCCUGUUUCUCCCAUAGAGCUAGCUAGAGGGCUCUGCUUUGCACCUGUGCGACAAUGUCUUGUGUGACAGCAUGUGCUGCACCAUAGAGGUCUGUCUAAGUCUAUGGUCCCUCUCCCUAGUCGUACAUCCUAGUGACAAUGGGCCCACUGGACUGUCAACCUUCUUUUUGACCUCUUCUUCUGUCUUUUAUCGGCCUUUAGUUCUAUGGUGAUGUAUUUCCUGUUCCUGUUUUUUGACUUUUCACCCUGUUUUAGGUAAUGAAACCCCUCCGCAAGCCAAAGCCGCCGACUCCCUGAAUGCUUGAACAUACUGAUUUAUAUUGAGACAUGAGGAGCAUUAACACCCUGUAUAUUCCUGUAACAUACAUGUAUAUAUUGUGUUUAUAAUAAUAAUAAUAAUAAUAACUACAAUGUCUAAUGGAGGAAGAUGAAGGAUGACAACAAGCCUUGUUUUAAUAUAAUUCUCUCUAUCCUUGGGGUCAAUAACAAGCCUUGUUUUAAUGUCAUUCUCUCUAACCUUGGGGUCAAUAACAAGCCUUGUUUUAAUGUCAUUC
ensembl:lncRNA